UCAAGGGACGGAUCCAGCAUGGGGCAACUGCCCCCACUUCAAUCUUGGUUGCACAAAUGAGUAAGAUAUACGACUUCAAAAUUUGCCCCCUCGUUUAAAAAAACUCUGGCUCCGUCCUUACUUUUAUGUGACGACAUCGAAGCCCCGACAGGUGUGAGUGGGGACGGUAUUGGUAGUGAUGGUGGAUUGUGUGGCGGCCAACGACGAUGGUGAUCGGAUUAGAUGGAAUCCUUUGUGAUUCGACAGAUCUACAGUGUCCGAUCCGAAUAUACUCACAAUAUAAUGAUAUUCGGAUGUUAUUUUGGUUUUAUGUUUAGAAUUUUUAAAUCAGGAAUUUAAUUGGUUACCAUUGA